AGAGUUUGAUCCUGGCUCAGGAUGAACGCUGGCGGCGUGCUUAACACAUGCAAGUCGAACGAACCUUCGGGUUAGUGGCGGACGGGUGAGUAACGCGUGAGAAUCUGCCCUCAGGAGGGGGAUAACGGUUGGAAACGACCGCUAAUACCCCAUAUGCCGCGAGGUGAAAUGAAUUUCGCCUGAGGAUGAGCUCGCGUCUGAUUAGUUAGUUGGUGGGGUAAAGGCCUACCAAGACAUCGAUCAGUAGCUGGUCUGAGAGGAUGAUCAGCCACACUGGGACUGAGACACGGCCCAGACUCCUACGGGAGGCAGCAGUGGGGAAUUUUCCGCAAUGGGCGAAAGCCUGACGGAGCAACGCCGCGUGAGGGAUGAAGGCCUCUGGGCUGUAAACCUCUUUUAUCAAGGAAGAAGAUCUGACGGUACUUGAUGAAUAAGCCACGGCUAAUUCCGUGCCAGCAGCCGCGGUAAUACGGGAGUGGCAAGCGUUAUCCGGAAUUAUUGGGCGUAAAGCGUCCGCAGGCGGUCUGUCAAGUCUGCUGUUAAAGCGUGGAGCUUAACUCCAUUUCGGCAGUGGAAACUGACAGACUAGAGUGUGGUAGGGGCAGAGGGAAUUCCCGGUGUAGCGGUGAAAUGCGUAGAUAUCGGGAAGAACACCAGUGGCGAAGGCGCUCUGCUGGGCCAUAACUGACGCUCAUGGACGAAAGCCAGGGGAGCGAAAGGGAUUAGAUACCCCUGUAGUCCUGGCCGUAAACGAUGAACACUAGGUGUCGGGGGAAUCGACCCCCUCGGUGUCGUAGCCAACGCGUUAAGUGUUCCGCCUGGGGAGUACGCACGCAAGUGUGAAACUCAAAGGAAUUGACGGGGGCCCGCACAAGCGGUGGAGUAUGUGGUUUAAUUCGAUGCAACGCGAAGAACCUUACCAGGGUUUGACAUCCUGCGAAUCUCUUGGAAACGAGAGAGUGCCUUCGGGAACGCAGUGACAGGUGGUGCAUGGCUGUCGUCAGCUCGUGUCGUGAGAUGUUGGGUUAAGUCCCGCAACGAGCGCAACCCACGUCGUUAGUUGCCAGCAUUUAGUUGGGCACUCUAGCGAGACCGCCGGUGAUAAACCGGAGGAAGGUGUGGAUGACGUCAAGUCAUCAUGCCCCUUACAUCCUGGGCUACACACGUACUACAAUGCUACGGACAAAGGGCAGCAAACUCGCGAGAGCUAGCAAAUCCCAUAAACCGUGGCUCAGUUCAGAUCGUAGGCUGCAACUCGCCUACGUGAAGGAGGAAUCGCUAGUAAUCGCAGGUCAGCAUACUGCGGUGAAUACGUUCCCGGGCCUUGUACACACCGCCCGUCACACCAUGGAAGUUGGCCACGCCCGAAGCCGUUACUCCAACCCUUGUGGAGGAGGACGUCGAAGGUGGGGCUGAUGACUGGGGUGAAGUCGUAACAAGGUA
rnacentral:rRNA from 1 species